rnacentral:lncRNA from 1 species
CUGAACUUUUUUUUGAAAGGAACAUAAUAAAUUCCAAUAAGUUAUGAAGGGGACGCAAGACGACAGUCUAUAUUAGAACAUGCGUAGUAACAAAAAAUAAACCAUAGCAAAGAAGCUGCAAGUCAACAAAGAUUCAUAGUUUCAUACUUAUGGGCAGAUAACUAAACUUCUUUACUAAAUAUAACCAUAUUGGGCGUAUAAAAUAGACAGAUUCUACUGCAAAUUUAUCGAGAGGGGACGAUACUGGAGAGCUCCAUCAUCGAAGACCUGGUUGCUGGCCAUGUUGUAGGGAGGAGAUGCAAAGCACAUCAAAUAAGCAAGCCAAUAAUCAAGGAAACCUGACACCGAGGACCACCAAUGAUGUUGCACGACUGGUCCGCCUAUUGGGAAUCGACGACCGCCCACCAAAGUGGAAAAAAUGGAGUCCUAAGAAAAUGCAGUUACAGAGUGUUAAAUACAAGAAUAGAACCACAAGUAAGCAUAUACUGUAAAAUGUAGAUAACCAUUUUUGACAAAAGGUUGAUCCCUACUUUAACAAAAGAGAUAGUUUGCUGGGUACCAGCUCUUACAGGAACUCCUAAACAGAACAUAACAAGUGCAACCCAUGGUAAAAAAAACUCCUCAUUUGGCAAAACAUAGUUAAUAACCAAGGAACAACUACACGUAGCAAGUAAUAUCCAUCAAAUAGAAAAAUAGUUACAGAAGGAUGGGAGCCUAAGAAAAAAAAGAAAAUAUAGCAUCAUGACUCGCAGUGAUUGCAAUGAUCUUCGGUACAGUUCUGAGGUUGAUAUGGAUCCCUAUAGAGCCAAUGGCUGGGAAAUUAAUAUGUAUACAAUUAUGUUUGUUUCAAAAAUGUGCCAAAACAGAUGAUAAAGAGGUAAGCUCCAGUAGAAAUAACUCGAUAAAUGAUUCCUGUUUUAGUAGUAAAUAGUUGAUGUAUGCAUUCUAGUCUGGUAGCAACAAAUGCCUUGCUUGACCAGAAGAAAAAAGAUCCAUUCUAUGAUGGAUAAGAAAUUAUGCCUUGGCCACAUGCAGAAAGUAAGCCAAGUUUUUCAUUUUAUUUUACAUGAAACGUUGCAUAUCUAGUCAUUGGUUAGUAAUAUAGCUAAGCACAUUACAUGCCAACAUUGUAUUGUAGCAAAAGCAACUUCAGAAUAUCAACCUCUAAUAGACAAAUGCUUAUAAGUAGACCCUCCCAAACAAGCUGAAUGUAUUUCUGAAGGAAAUAAAAAAGGCUGAAUGGAGGAAAUUUCUAUCAGAAAUUAGGGCCUAAUAGUUAUGAGACAACAGCACGGGUAGUAAGCCCAUAAUAUGCAUUAGCUAGAAGAUUUACCUUUGACAACAGAGAUCUGAUACAGAACUUGCAUAUACUAGGUUUGGAGCUACACAAAUUAAAACUGGACCACAGGAUCUCAAAUGAGAAAAGUAAUACAAUCUAAACUCAUGGAUUCAGGCUUGAGCUCGCCUUAGGCCAUAGCAGGCUACAACACGAACACAAAAAACAAUGGUUAAACCAUUGUUUUCUAAAAACAGAAAUUAGAACAAAUCAGCAAGAACCAAAGUGGACUGAAAUAUAGAAGUAAGUAAUACUAAUUACCCUAUAUGUUUUAUCAACUGAAAUAUAAGAAGGCAAGUUAUAUCUGGUGACAAUUCAUCUUUGAAAGCCAAUCCAAAUGGGAAAAUCCAUUAUAAUUCAACCUGAUUCUGCACCUACAGACCCGAGAUGCUUCUCAUCUCAGUACUAGCUGUAAGUUUACUUCAUCUUCUUUGAGCUAAACUUGUGCACCCAAAUUUGAGUACUAGCUGUAAGUUCUCUUCAAGCUAAUAUAUAUCCCAAAAUCAGUAUAUGAACCCAAUUAUCUUACAGCCCAUGUUUUAUUGCCUAAUUCUGUCGGUACGACCCAGAGACAUGAAACCUACAUAGAUCUAAUAAUGAUUACACUAAUUACCUCUUGUUUGUUAAUUGAAUAACUAACAUUUGAUGGACCAUGACAGACAAAAAAUGCAGCAUAUGGGCAUGCUAAAUUGAGGAGUAAUUAGACACAAGCCCCUGAACCUAAGGAGUCAUUAGACACAAAAGCGUUGGUAGCUCUAUUUAUGGAAGAUAGAAGAUUAGUAGGAGGACUGGAAGCGGCCAUAAGUCAGAUCUGGAGAGAAGCUCUUCCUGAUUUGUCCCCAACAUCUAUUUUUCUAGAGUACCAAGCAGGCCAGAUCACCACGGCCAUGCAAAUUUUUGUUCAGUCUUCGCUAAUAUGCACAUUAUCAAAUCUGGCGAAGCCAUACUCAAACUUGUGCACCCAAACUGAAACGUGUAGAACUUCAAAAAUAGCAAAGGGAUGCAUCAAUAGACACCCAAUCUGAGAAAGGCCAAAACCUAGCACCAUGGCAGCCGCCGCAGCCAGCAAGUGGUGACCAGGAUUAUGCCUAAGUUCCUUGAUUUAGAAUUCUGGAUUGAGAGGGGAUGGGAGGAGAAAUACCGGGGAAUAAAUCCUGGCAAUGAACCAGAGUGUGGAGAGCUCACCGUGACGCCGCCAUAACCUGCUAGAUGGAGCAGUGACGCCGUAGCCCGUGAGAUGGAGCAGUGCCGUCGUGGCCGUUGUUGAGCAUGAAGCGGUCGCAGUCGAUUUAGCUCCCGUGUUGCCCGGCACUGAGGAACCCAAAGAACUCACCACACCGCCGAUGCCACCUACUGCCACCGAGCACCGCGCCGCUGAGUCUGCACCACCAACAGCAACGACGGCACCGCCCAAGACCAAGUCAAAUCCGCUGAGCACCAUGCCGCCGUUCGCUGUCGAAACCGUCCGUAGCUUUUUUCCUUUUCUUCUUUAUCUUUAUCUUUAUCUUUAUCUUUACCUCUUUAUCUUUACCUAAUAAUAAAGAGAAUUGAGUUUCUUCCAUACGUCAUAAAAAAUACCCUCGAAAUUGGUAAAAUUUACCCACCAAUUGCACCCGUAAGUGACAAAAAA